GUCUGUAGGUACUUGGCUUGGGAACCGGAGGGUUGUAAGUUCAAGUCCCCGCAUGGACCAGCUGUAGGACUUCCAAAGUAGAAAUUGUGGACUGGUACAGUAGCUGCAUACAGUAGUACAUUUCACUCUGUGUACAAAAGCAAUUUAUGACAAUUAAAGCUGUUUAAAAGCUUAGGUGACAACUUUG